rnacentral:rRNA from 1 species
UACGUAGGGUGCUAGCGUUGUCCGGAUUUAUUGGGCGUAAAGAGCUCGUAGGCGGCUUGUUGCGUCGACUGUGAAAACCCGCGGCUUAACUGCGGGCUUGCAGUUGAUACGGGCAGGCUAGAGUUCGGUAGGGGAGACUGGAAUUCCUGGUGUAGCGGUGAAAUGCGCAGAUAUCAGGAGGAACACCGGUGGCGAAGGCGGGUCUCUGGGCCGAUACUGACGCUGAGGAGCGAAAGCGUGGGGAGCGAACAGG